AUGUCAUUUCCUCAUGAAGUUGAAAGUAAAUUUGCAGGCGAAUGCACUUACAAAAUGGAUGUUGAAACUGUGGCGCACAUUUCUCGGCAACAUUAGAAGUCUGGUAAAAGUAUUGAUUUGAAGGAAAGACGAGCAGAUUCUGGUAAGUCUAGAGGCAAGAUACAACUAUUAUAAAGUUAGGUCGUCAUCAGACAUUAAAUAGUCAAGAUUAGGUUUGAUCUAUGAUCACUGAUCAUCAUGUGUGUAGUGGGAGGGAGAACUUUCACUUUGAGAAUACACGAAGAAAAUAUUCUGAUCAAUUCUAAAUAAAUUAUAUUUAAUUACCAGGUGAAUGGUAACGUCACUGUUACAAAAAAUAUACAUGUCUAGAAAGAUUUUAGGACGAUUAGCUGAAGCUGAAUAGUAAAAAAAAUUGUAGGAUGGAUUUUAUCCAUCUUCUAAAACAGGGCUCUCCGAUCCUGUUCCUGGAGAGAUACCAUCCUGUAGGUUUUCAUUACUAUUCAAAACUAGUCACCUGAUUAAAAUAAUGAGUUGGUUUAUAAGAUAAAAUCAUGCUAUUUACAACUGGGAUUGCGGUGAAACCCUACCGGAGGGUAACGCCCCAGGAACAGGAUUGGAGAGACCUGUAAUGAUAGACUAUUCAAUAGAAUACAUAUGUCGAUACAAACUUUGAUUGAAGAAAUGAUGACGUCAUUUACAUAGUUUGCUGUGCUCCCUCACCUAAAAAAAUACAUCACUGCUUAUCAUGUCGACCGACCCGAUGGCCUCCGUUGAAAAUGUUGUAAAAAAUAUCAGACCUAGGCUAUAUUCUCUGUCCUGCUACUGGUAGGACUAUAACAUAAUGUGAACUGACCUGAACAGGUUUAGGUUGGUCAUCUAUGAUAUGUAGGUUAUAUACAGUACAUUCUCUGUCCUGCUACUGGUAGGCCUGUAACAUUAUGUGAACUGACCUGAACAGGUUUAGACUAGUCAUCUAUGAUAUGUAGGUAUUAUACAGUACAUUCUCUGUCCUGCUACUGGUAGGACUAUAACAUUAUGUGAACUGACCUGAACAGGUUUAGACUGGUCAUCUAUGAUAUGUAGGUUAUAUACAGUACAUUCUCUGUCCUGCUACUGGUAGGACUAUAACAUUAUGUGAACUGACCUGAACAGGUUUAGACUGAUCAUCUAUGAUAUGUAGGCUAUAGCUGAGGUAUAGACCUCGAUCUGCAUAUCACUAACAAACUGCUAUUAUACAUUAUAACCUAGUCUACUUUACAUAAUAUAACAUCUAUAUAUCACUAACAACCCACUACUAUACAUUAUAACCUAGUCUAUUUUACAUAAUAUAACAUAUCACUAACAAACCACUACUAUACAUUAUAACCUAGUCUACUUUACAUAAUAUAAAAUCUCUUACUUGUUGCAAAUAAACUUUCUGAAUGGAUCAAUGAUUUCCCCUCAGAUCAAUCAUGUCAGUUUUAUCCCUUCUGUCUACAUUCUUAGAUACCUUUAGAAAAUAACAGAUUAAAAGACAAUACAAAGCCACUUUUAAUGAAUAAAAAUAAGUGUGAGACAUGACCUUGUGUUGCUGUACUGUCUAUAACUACCUUAACAAACAGUGACUUAUUAUUAUUAUUAUUAUUAUUAUUAUUGUUACUGUACUGUCUAUAACGACAAUAUAUAUAAAGGGAUAUAAAGACAAUAAAUAUCCUACUGUUAGUGAAUACAAAUAAGUGUGAGACAUGGCCUUGUGUUGCUGCACUGUCUAUAACUACCUUAACAGACAGUAACUUAUUAUUAUUAUUGACAGUUACCAUGGAGAUGAAAUGUCACAACUACAUGUUCAUGUGAUGCAUUAAAUCACCUGACUGUUUCUAUGUAUGUUAGUAAAUGUUUUAUUUCUCGAAGAGAUAAUGAAUACAUGAGAACAAGAAUUAGUUGUCACUGUGUUAAUCACAACCAACAUGCUGGAUCUCUGUUUAAGGGUCAGUGCUCUAAAAUGAGUCUCUCCGGGAAGAGAGAGGAGGGGGGCCCUGCCUCUAAAAUGAGUCUCUCUGGGGAGAGAGAGGAGGGGGGCCCUGCCUCUAAAAUGAGUCUCUCUGGGGAGAGAGAGGAGGGGGGCCCUGCCUCUAAAAUGAGUCUCUCUGGGGAGAGAGAGGAGGGGGGCCCUGCCUCUAAAAUUCAUCUCUCUGGGGAGAGAGAGGAGGGGGGCCCUGCCUCUAAAAUUCAUCUCUCUGAGGGACAUGACACCAAAGAUAAGAGCGCCCGGCCCGGGAUUCGAACCAGCCACCCUUCGGUCACAGCUCCAACUCCAACCUGAGUUAAUCUUCAGAAAUAAGCAUGAGUUAAUCUGCCAAAAUGAAGACAAAAUGCUUUGCAUACAUGGUAUCACUUGUUAUGCAUAAUUAUCAUACAUAACUCAUCGCCAAAAGCACAAGACAUACUGUUGCAUGUAGGUCUAUAUUAUUUAUGGGUUGAUCACAUAGAAAUAUAAAAACAUUAUUUUUAACUACUGCAAUGCAAUUACAUGUGGCUCAGGAACCACUGACUCACUGCAUGAUUCUAUAGUAUUAUCAAGACACCUGCUGUUAACUCUUAACUACUUAGGACAGCUCACGAGGUGUCCUAAAUAUCUACUGACUAGGUGGGUAGGUAAUUUAGGCAAUGGGUAGGUAACUAGGUCAUUUAUACCCAUAAGUGUAAAAUGUCUUUAUUCUCAGCACUUAUACGACCAAUUUUCUACUCAGACACUUUGGCCAUAUGGACCCAGAUCUCAACAUAUUGUCAUAAAAAAACUGAAUGUUUGAUCUCAAAAUGUUGUUAUAAUUUUGUAAAAAUGUUUGUUAAACAUAAUAAUAAAAAAUGAAUAUUACUAAUGUAA